GUAGCGGCGACGGGUGAGUAACACGUGGGUAACCUACCUAUAAGACUGGGAUAACUUCGGGAAACCGGAGCUAAUACCGGAUAAUAUUUCGAACCGCAUGGUUCGAUAGUGAAAGAUGGUUUUGCUAUCACUUAUAGAUGGACCCGCGCCGUAUUAGCUAGUUGGUAAGGUAACGGCUUACCAAGGCGACGAUACGUAGCCGACCUGAGAGGGUGAUCGGCCACACUGGAACUGAGACACGGUCCAGACUCCUACGGGAGGCAGCAGGC
rnacentral:rRNA from 1 species